UAAAAUAUUGUUAUUUGUAUAAUUUUUUUCCUUUCUCAUAGAUAGAUAGAUUUUUCUUUCUACUAGAUUGCAAAGUCUUGAUGGAACUGAUUUUAAAGAACGUAACAAGACGAGCUAUUCGUCACAUCAUGCCUGAUGAUGUUGUUGAGCUCUAAAGCUGGAUGGGCAAUAAUGAAAAAAAAGAUUUUUUGGUUACAGAGUGUCAGGUGCAAUUAUUGAAGCUGUUUGCAGUGUUUUCACAUACACUAAAGUAAAUGAAGUUGGAAGCAUUAUUAGAGGCUGGUUGCGCCAUGCUAAA